AGAAUCCAAGGCUGGAUGGAGAAACAGUUAUCUGUUGGAGGUAAAGAAAUUCUGUUGAAAGCUAUUGCUCACGCUAUCCCUGUUUUUGCCAUGUCUGUAUUUUGCUUGCCAAAAGGAAUAUGCAAGGAGAUCACGGAUGUUAUCGCCCAAUUUUGGUGGGGUGACGAUGAAGAGCAUAAAAAGAUGCACUGGUAUUCUUGUUGGAAACUUUGCUACCCUAAGAGUAAAGGAGGCAUGGGUUUCAGAGAUCUUUACUCUUUUAAUCUUGCUAUGUUGGCCAAACAAUGUUGGAGUCUUAUCACAAAUCUCGAUUCUCUGUGUGCAAAGGUAUUGAAAGCAAAGUAUUAUCCAAAUGGGAGUUUAAUUCAGGCAAGCUUAAAAAAUGGAGCUUCAUUUACAUGGCAGAGUAUCAUGAAAGGACUUGAGUUGUUCAAAAUAGGAUAUAUUUGGAGGAUUGGCUCAGGGGAGGAAAUAAAUAUCUAG
rnacentral:rRNA from 1 species